rnacentral:rRNA from 1 species
UACGUAGGGUGCAAGCGUUGUCCGGAAUUAUUGGGCGUAAAGAGCUCGUAGGCGGUCUGUCGCGUCGGAUGUGAAAACCCAGGGCUCAACCCCGGGCCUGCAGUCGAUACGGGCAGACUAGAGUGCGGUAGGGGAGACUGGAAUUCCUGGUGUAGCGGUGAAAUGCGCAGAUAUCAGGAGGAACACCGGUGGCGAAGGCGGGUCUCUGGGCCGUAACUGACGCUGAGGAGCGAAAGCGUGGGGAGCGAACAGG